AUUUUAAUUGUCAAGGGGAGAGCACGGGCACUUGGGUUAAUAAUAUUAAUAGAAUCACUGAGCAUAACUAGAUUAAUUUGCAGAUUGUGUAAAAAUCCAGGGAUGGAUUUACUGCAGACGGUGGGUAAAUGAGAUACAGCAGUUUAAGUACCAGUAAUGACAUGAUGAUAAGCGAACUGUGAACAACAACUUAGAUUUUGUCUUUAGAAUUUUACCACGAGAACUGCAACUGUCCUCAAAAGAACCACAGUAUUUGGAGCAAGGCGAUGGACUGUCCAGCAACUUACAAGCAGAUAGACACAG
rnacentral:lncRNA from 1 species